GGCCGCUGCCCCGCGGGGCUGGCGGGGGCUGUCGCCCUUUGCAGUAUCCAAUGCGAUGCAGGCGGGGAGCUGCCGGAGCCCCAGCCCGCCCUGCAGGUCCGCUUCCCCGCAGGCUGGCGCUUGCCUGUGCCGCCUCUCCGGAGCGAUCCCUUCUGCUCCUCUCUCCGUCCUCCCCUACGAGGCAGCGGCAUCAUCCUCCCCCUUGCUCCUCCACCUCCUCCUCCAACGCGCAGCCCAGGGCUCUGGCAUCCCCGACGCACUUUCUCUUCUCGCUUCUCUGCCCUCCCUCCCCCGGUUCAGAGAAGAAGUAGCUGGAUCGCGCCUGGCAGCUUUCCCUGGAGCCGGAGGAGGAGGCAGGAGGGACCCCGAGAAGUCUCCGGACCCCCCGGGCCGAGCUCUCCGUGGCUCCGGCGGCGCGGGCUGCUCCGCGCUGUAGCGAUGCCUCGGAUCUGACUAUUCCCCGGGAAUGUGUAAAACCAGAUUGGAUAAAGUACAAGAAGGAACAAUCCUGCAAUAGCCAGAGAUUGACCACAGCCCCAGAGACUCACCCCUCAUGUCCCCUGAUUGGCCCCUUGGGUCACCCGGAUGGGGAUAAAAGGGGCAGCACGGCUGACUCAGGGAAGAGACCAGCGAGGGACUAUGAGUAAGGAGCUGACAAGAGCUUAGCCAGCGGGGCAGGAGCAGUUGCCCCAGAAGAGCCUGAAGGAGCAGGACCUGCAGGCAGCAGUUGGACCCUCAGCAGCAUGACGUAUGGCCAGCAGGAGAGGCUCCCUGCA